CUCAAAAUGUAUAAUUCAAUUUACAAUCUGCAAAGGAGUGGAAAAAGUGGAAAUCAGGAUUAAUUCAAUUAAAUUCAAGUUUAUUUGUGUAGCUUUUCAUGAUACAAAUAGUUGCAAAGCAGCUUUCCAGAAAAUGUUAAGUUUCUUAGUUAUAUUUAGGAGUAGGUUAUUAGUGGUGACUAUGACAGAAAUGAACAGUAAAAAUCAUGCCGUUAGUUACAAAUGACACGUAAUCAAUCAGACAGUGAACACUGCAAUGAUUAUAUGUUGCGAUUAAACUUUGUGAUUGCGAUUAAGCUCAAUUUAAGCAAUAUUUGCUAGAUUAGGCAUAAAAUAAUGUCUUCAGAAUUAUUCAUACAUGUGAAAAUAAUGAGAAUUGACCAAAUAGUUGUAAACAGGCUCAGAUUCAGAAUCAUGUCUUUGUGUCAGUUUUUCUGCUGAUUAAAAGAUUAUACAAGACUUCUUGCUAUGAAAUGCAUCAUAUUUUAUGAGAAAGUGUGACGUGCUCGAGCAAAACAGAAACAAGUGUUGGAUUUCAUUCAGCAAAUCUGAUGCAGUGUAUUUGGAAAGUUCCAAACAUGCAAGAAAGAAGUGCUGUGUUUGUCUGCAGCUCAGGCAGAGUGCCGAGGGGACAGAAGUGAGCGACGGCUCUGACAGAGAGGAAGUGGAAUCCAUUGGCAAGACGCUUUUCAAUGUUGUGCAUCAGUUAGACCCCACCCACUGCGCUGACAUCACCGGAAUGCUGAAACAGAUUCUGUCCGAACGGAGCAUCCUGGAAGUUGCAGUUCAGAGAGCAAAAAGUGCACUGGUACUUUAACCAAAUGUACACACACUCCCAAGGCUUUAUUGUAAUUUGUGUACUUGCUGACAAAGUAUGCAUUUGCGCAAGCUUUUUAAACUAAUAUUCCUCACUUUUAGCUACAGAGGAGCAAUGAACAACACUUUAAAUAAAUGUUUUUCUCUGUCCACAGGAGGGCUUGCUGAGCCCAACACACUCAGAAAUGUCAGAAUGAGGCUUGGAAUCUCUGCAGACUAUUUAAAGCCUGAAUUGCUGUGCAUUUUACUUGCAUCAUUCAAGACAUUGUUUACAUGGACUUCCUUUUUAGGAUUUUUGACACAUUUAUUGAUAUAAAUGAGGAGGAAAAGGAGAGGAAAAGAUUGUGAAGAAAAAAGGUGGAAUUGCAUCAGGCUGGAUUUGAACCUGCUUUACCUGCAUGAGCACCUCAGCUAAAUGCGUCUAGAGCAUGUGCAUUAACCACUAGGUCAUGGCUUUUGCAUUCCAGAUGCGGCCGCACAUUUACAUAUAAUGUAAAUAUGUUUGUAAAUAAAGAAUGCAAAGUUUCUCUCUGUAGUUUUUUAUGAGAUUUAUGUAAAUUCUAAAAAU
rnacentral:lncRNA from 1 species